rnacentral:rRNA from 1 species
GAUGAACGCUGACAGAAUGCUUAACACAUGCAAGUCUUUGGCGAAGCUGUGCUUGCACAGCCUAGCCAAGGCGGACGGGUGAGUAACGCGUAAGGAACUUGCCCUGCAGUCAGGGAUAACAGACGGAAACGACUGAUAAGACCUGGUAAAGUCAGGCGGACUCAUGUCCAGCCUGAUGAAAAGAGAUGCUGCAGGAGAGCCUUGCGUCCUAUUAGCUUGUUGGUGGGGUAACGGCCCACCAAGGCGAUGAUAGGUAGCCGGCCUGAGAGGGUGGACGGCCACAAGGGGACUGAGAUACGGCACUUACUACUACGGGAGGCAGCAGUGGGGAAUAUUGGACAAUGGGGGCAACACUGAUCCAGCAAUUCUGUGUGCACGAUGAAGGUUUUCGGAUUGUAAAGUGCUUUCAGCAGGGAAGAAAAAAAUGACGGUACCUGCAGAAGAAGCGACGGCUAAAUACGUG